rnacentral:rRNA from 1 species
AUGAACGCUGGCGGCGUGCCUCAUACAUGCAAGUCGAGCGCACAGACGAGGAGCUUGCUCCUCUGACGUUAGCGGCGGACGGGUGAGUAACACGUGGAUAACCUACCUAUAAGACUGGGAUAACUUCGGGAAACCGGAGCUAAUACCGGAUAAUAUAUUGAACCGCAUGGUUCAAUAGUGAAAGACGGUUUUGCUGUCACUUAUAGAUGGAUCCGCGCCGCAUUAGCUAGUUGGUAAGGUAACGGCUUACCAAGGCGACGAUGCGUAGCCGACCUGAGAGGGUGAUCGGCCACACUGGAACUGAGACACGGUCCAGACUCCUACGGGAGGCAGCAGUAGGGAAUCUUCCGCAAUGGGCGAAAGCCUGACGGAGCAACGCCGCGUGAGUGAUGAAGGUCUUCGGAUCGUAAAACUCUGUUAUUAGGGAAGAACAAAUGUGUAAGUAACUAUGCACGUCUUGACGGUACCUAAUCAGAAAGCCACGGCUAACUACGUG